ACUACCACAUUUUCUUCUAUAUAUAGAUUGUAUAGGAAUUGUAAUUUAUCAAUCUUGUAAUACAUCAAGAUAUCCAUCAAUAAUACAAUUUAUUCUCUUUCUCUCUCUAUCAAUAUUUCUAACAGAACGGCAUUGGUUGAUAGUAAAUUGAAGAAUAUAUGAAUUUUAAUAUAAUUAGAAAUUAUGAUUUAAUAAGAUUUUAUUUUUGGAUUUUAUUUCUUUAUCAGUAGUUGCCAAUUCCUUAGUUUCCUAGUUUUGGGUUUCUUAAUUAAAUAGUGCUUAUGUCUAUAUAUAUGCUUUUAUGUAAUAGUUUUGGAUACUUAGACUUUAAUGAAUUUGAUAAUUAUUAUUGAGAGGUGUUGUUUCGGGAUUGUGAUCCCUGAUUUAUUCUUCUUCUUCCUUUUUUUUUGUGUGAUAAAUAUGCAUUGGAAAAUCAUCAAGAUGAUGCAAAGAAUACAAAAAUUCGUUCAUUCUUCUUCUUGGAGCUCCUUAGCCUCAACCCUAGGCAUUGAGGGACACUUCAGAGGCAUACCACUUGACUUGUGCAUCUUGCAAGUUGAACUCUUUAUGGAACUAGUGAAAGCAAAGAACUCAGAGUUAAAAAUUAAUCUUGACCAUCCUAAAUUAAAUGGAGAAAAAACAGUCCAAAAUGCAAUUACAGAAUUGGCGGCAAUGAUGGGAGAGAAUGUAAAGCUUAGAAGGGGUAUUGCAAUGUCUGCUCCUUCAGGGGGUAUUAUUUCUACAUAUCUCCAUUCGAGCCCUCAACCAGGU